rnacentral:rRNA from 1 species
CACGUGGGUAACCUGCCUGUAAGACUGGGAUAACUCCGGGAAACCGGGGCUAAUACCGGAUGCUUGUUUGAACCGCAUGGUUCAGACAUAAAAGGUGGCUUCGGCUACCACUUACAGAUGGACCCGCGGCGCAUUAGCUAGUUGGUGAGGUAACGGCUCACCAAGGCAACGAUGCGUAGCCGACCUGAGAGGGUGAUCGGCCACACUGGGACUGAGACACGGCCCAGACUCCUACGGGAGGCAGCAGUAGGGAAUCUUCCGCAAUGGACGAAAGUCUGACGGAGCAACGCCGCGUGAGUGAUGAAGGUUUUCGGAUCGUAAAGCUCUGUUGUUAGGGAAGAACAAGUGCCGUUCAAAUAGGGCGGCACCUUGACGGUACCUAACCAGAAAGCCACGGCUAACUACGUGCCAGCAGCCGCGGUAAUACGUAGGUGGCAAGCGUUGUCCGGAAUUAUUGGGCGUAAAGGGCUCGCAGGCGGUUUCUUAAGUCUGAUGUGAAAGCCCCCGGCUCAACCGGGGAGGGUCAUUGGAAACUGGGGAACUUGAGUGCAGAAGAGGAGAGUGGAAUUCCACGUGUAGCGGUGAAAUGCGUAGAGAUGUGGAGGAACACCAGUGGCGAAGGCGACUCUCUGGUCUGUAACUGACGCUGAGGAGCGAAAGCGUGGGGAGCGAACAGGAUUAGAUACCCUGGUAGUCCACGCCGUAAACGAUGAGUGCUAAGUGUUAGGGGGUUUCCGCCCCUUAGUGCUGCAGCUAACGCAUUAAGCACUCCGCCUGGGGAGUACGGUCGCAAGACUGAAACUCAAAGGAAUUGACGGGGGCCCGCACAAGCGGUGGAGCAUGUGGUUUAAUUCGAAGCAACGCGAAGAACCUUACCAGGUCUUGACAUCCUCUGACAAUCCUAGAGAUAGGACGUCCCCUUCGGGGGCAGAGUGACAGGUGGUGCAUGGUUGUCGUCAGCUCGUGUCGUGAGAUGUUGGGUUAAGUCCCGCAACGAGCGCAACCCUUGAUCUUAGUUGCCAGCAUUCAGUUGGGCACUCUAAGGUGACUGCCGGUGACAAACCGGAGGAAGGUGGGGAUGACGUCAAAUCAUCAUGCCCCUUAUGACCUGGGCUACACACGUGCUACAAUGGACAGAACAAAGGGCAGCGAAACCGCGAGGUUAAGCCAAUCCCACAAAUCUGUUCUCAGUUCGGAUCGCAGUCUGCAACUCGACUGCGUGAAGCUGGAAUCGCUAGUAAUCGCGGAUCAGCAUGC